AAAGUAAGUUUUAAUUCACUAAGUGAUUGGAUUAAAUAUAAUUAAUUGGAUUGGUGCCAAUCACCUCACUGCCUUGCUAAUUAGAACCUAAAACGAUUGUUCACCAAUACACUCUUGUAGUGAGUAAUUAAUGGAUGAUGGAAAUAAUUAAUUGGAUUAAUUAAGUGUUGUGAUUAAUUAGAAAGUCUAAAGAAAUCAUAAAAGCGAUAUUAGAUCGUUUUGGGCUUAAAGAAACGUUCGGAUUUAAUUGGGCCCAUUGGGCCUAAACCCAUUGGGCUUUUAUUCAAGCAUUGGAUGACUUGAAAUAAAUAAAAG
rnacentral:lncRNA from 1 species